UACAGAGACGUCGAGCGUUGUUCGGAUUCAUUGGGCGUAAAGGGUGCGUAGGCGGUGAGGUAAGUUGGAUGUGAAAUCCCAAGGCUUAACCUUGGAAGUGCAUCCAAAACUGCCUUGCUAGAGGACUGGAAGGGAGACUGGAAUUCUCGGUGUAGCGGUGAAAUGCGUAGAUAUCGAGAGGAACACCUGUGGCGAAGGCGGGUCCCUGGACAACACCUGACACUGAGGCACGAAAGCUAGGGGAGCAAACAGG
rnacentral:rRNA from 1 species